GACGAACGCUGGCGGCGUGCUUAACACAUGCAAGUCGAACGGAAAGGCCCUGCUUUUGUGGGGUGCUCGAGUGGCGAACGGGUGAGUAACACGUGAGUAACCUGCCCUUGACUUUGGGAUAACUUCAGGAAACUGGGGCUAAUACCGGAUAGGAGCCCCUGCUGCAUGGUGGGGGUUGGAAAGUUUCGGCGGUUGGGGAUGGACUGGCGGGUUAUCAGCUUGUUGGUGGGGUAGUGGCUGACCAAGGCUUUGACGGGUAGCCGGCCCGGGAGGGUGACCGGCGUCCAUGGGACUGCGGUAGGGCGCAGAGGGGAAUGGUGGGCAGUGGGCGGGAGUAUUGUCCAGCCGGAGGGAGUCGGUGGAGGAGACGUUGGGUGUGGGAAGACGUUUUGCUGGUUGUAAACCGCUGUAGGCUAAUACGAAGCGGUAGUGACGGUAAUGAAUGAAUAAGCACCGGCUAACUACGUG
rnacentral:rRNA from 1 species